rnacentral:rRNA from 1 species
UACGUAGGGGGCAAGCGUUGUCCGGAUUUAUUGGGCGUAAAGGGCGCGUAGGCGGGAUGGCAAGUCGGUCGUGAAAUCCUUCGGCUCAACCGAAGAACGUCGAUCGAUACUGCUGUUCUUGAGGGUUGCAGAGGAGACUGGAAUUCCCGGUGUAGCGGUGAAAUGUGUAGAGAUCGGGAGGAACACCGGUGGCGAAGGCGGGUCUCUGGGCAAUUCCUGACGCUGAGGCGCGAAAGCGUGGGGAGCAAACGGG